AUGGUGAAAUGGUGGUGGAAAUUGGAGACCCAAAGUGGAUUAUGGCAGGAUAUUGUGCGAGCUAGAUAUGUUGUAAACAAAACUAUUGCUGGGGUUAGAGUCAGAUUCUCUGAUUCACCAUGCUGGAAAGCCCUCUUAAAGGUGAAAGAGGUUUAUAUGGUGGGGAGAAAAGUUAAUAUUGAGUCUGGUAAUAUUGCCCGGGUGUGGGUGGAUCCCAUCAAUGGGCUCCCUCCGUUUCGGGAGCAAUUCCCACAUCUUUUCUCGAUAUGCAAUGACCCUGAAUGCACGGUGAGUAAAGUGAAUCAUAUGGACACUAACAAUUUUUUCAGACGAGGGCUUAAUGCUGAGCUAUCU
rnacentral:rRNA from 1 species